rnacentral:rRNA from 1 species
UACGAAGGGGGCUAGCGUUGUUCGGAAUUACUGGGCGUAAAGCGCACGUAGGCGGAAUGUUAAGUCAGGGGUGAAAUCCCGGGGCUCAACCCCGGAACUGCCUUUGAUACUGGUAGUCUUGAGUUCGAGAGAGGUGAGUGGAAUUCCGAGUGUAGAGGUGAAAUUCGUAGAUAUUCGGAGGAACACCAGUGGCGAAGGCGGCUCACUGGCUCGAUACUGACGCUGAGGUGCGAAAGCGUGGGGAGCAAACAGG